UGAAGCUCUCCUUCAAGCUUUACCACACACACCAAGCACAUGGUCUUGAUCUCAAAAGAAGCAAAAGAAAAGCUACAAAGACUCUAAAGGCCCUAUAAAAACCAUCUUUGCUCUAAUCCAAACCCUAGUUUGGAAUUUAACAUGAGAAGGGGCAAGACUUACCUCUAAGCUUAGCUCCUUUCUUGCUCUCGAGAGGAAGAAGAUGAAGUUGCUUCACUUCAAUAGCUUCUUCUCCGCUUUCUUUUCUUCUUUUCCUUC
rnacentral:lncRNA from 1 species